UAACUGCACACUAAAUAUUGUUUUGAUCAUAUUAUUCAAAUUGCACAAAUGAAAGUCCACGAGAUCGAAGAAACGAACUAUGCACUUGCCUGCGCAUCGCUGAGUACAGAUACAUGAAUCGUCAUGACCAUUUUUUAGAGGAACUACAAAAGAACUACACUAGAGUAUCAAUGUGGAACACAUGACAAGCUUCUGUGAGUUGCAGCGUAAAGCAUCUAAUAUAUCAAUUAUCAUACUUCAAAGCAAGACUUUCGUGACGCAAGAGGAUAUGAAGAAGUCAUGAUAGAAGAUUACUGAUCUGGAAAAGGAAGGAUACUUUGGUAGUUGGUCAGAUGAAGAAGGGGAGGGCUCAAAUAAUAUGAUAGUACUAAAGAUGGAGACUUACACAGAAUCAAGGAAUCAAGUAGGGAAGAGCCCAACUUGCAGGCAUGUAGCAUACUGUCAAGAACAAGUUAUCAUGGUUAAGUUACAGGUAAGGUAAGAAUAUGUAAUAACUGAUUUUGAUUUAAAAAUAAAAAUUUACAUGAAGGUAUAUGUGCAAGUGAAUUUAGAGUAAAUACACAGUUCAGACAACUUUUUAUCCAAAGAUGAGUUCUAUGCUUUUAGUUCAAAUUGUGAUCAGUUGACUAGUAAUUUAUCGCCUAAGCAGCAAAUGUUGAUUAGUAAUUCAUUGCCAUCCUUUUAGGGAAGUUUUAAACUUGUUUAUUGGCCUAUAGUGGAUUUUGAUUAUAAUUUGGUCAUUGUAGGGUGAAUAAUGUUAAAUUAAACAACAGGAUGACAAUGAUUUUCAUCAAUUACUCCCUCCGAAUAAAAAAAAAGAGUCCACUUAACCAUUUGCAUGCCUCUUAAAAAACUACUCACUCCAAGAAAAAAAUAUGUAAAUUGACUGAACUACGCCUAAUUAAAUUGGCAUUGAAAUUUGAUCACAUAACACUUAAUGGGGACAAAUCUGAAAAGAUAAGGUUA